GCCACAUGAUGAACUACAGAAUGUCACAUGACUGUCACCUGAUGAGAGGAAAGAUGGCAUGUCAUUCAUUCAUGGAUGUGUCACCUUAACAAUGCCCCUUUUUCUAAGAACCAAGUUCAGGAGGAAGCAGAAUAAAUUGAGAUUGAGAUGAUGGGAAACUACAAUGAGUUGAUGAUUGACGUCUGUAGUUUCCACCUGCGACUCAGCCCUCCUGGCCGGACCGUAUAUAAGAGAUCACACAGGUUGAGGACUCCACAUCACCGAGACUUCUACUACCACAGGUUCAUACUGACCUACAGAGCCUCUGCUGUGACCAUCAUCCACACAUCAGACCACCGUCCAGACAGACGGAGACAUCUGAGACGCCGGCAGAAGCAG